GUCAACUAGAUGUUUAGGGAUGUAUGUUUUUGGCUGAAAUAUGAGACAUCGUAUAUCACUUGGGAGCAAAUACAAAUUUGUGACAAGUCGUUAUUAGGCAAUCUGCAGUAUUUUUUUUUUUUAAUGUGCCACGAGGAUACUGUUUUUUUUUGUUUUUGCUGUUUUCCAAAUACAUGAUCAUCUUUAUUUCUGUGCAAGUUUCAUGGUUUUGUUCUCACUGCUGUGCACUUGGACUUAUGCUACUGUAUUGAUUGCCUUCACAGCUCGAGUUAGCUCAAUACCAAUAGUUGAUGACAGUGACUCUCUGCUGGAUACAUAUUCAAGAAGUGAUAUUACAGCUUUGGCUAAAGACAGCUUAUUCACAUAUUCACCUUGAUGAAAUGAGUAUUCACCAGCACUGCAACUUGGACAAGAUGCAAGUGCUCCAUUUGGAUUCUUUAACGGGCAGCGAAGCCAGAUGUGUCUUCGUUCUGAUACUCUGCAGCAAGUGAUGGAGCGAUUGACAAAUCCUGGGGUCCGGCGUGUUAUCAUUGUGGAAGCGGGAACCAAGCGUGUAGUUAUUUCUCUGAGUGAUGUAUUCAGAUUCUUGCUUGGCUGGCCUCAAGUAUCACCAAGUAACUUCUAGUUUAUACUGGCUUGUGAGCACGUUAUUCUUCGCCUACCGUCUCUAUUGGGCAAAUGGAAUCAUUUCUUCUUCUUCUUUUUUCUUUUUUUCCUCCUUUUAAUUUAAUAGGCGUCAUUGGGUUAGAGCCUGGUGUUUGUUGAGAAGACCACAAAUGGUCUGUAAAUGAGGAAUUUUCUCUUAACCCUGUUUUCCAUAAUUAUUGUUUCUGUAUGUGCUUUUCCUGGCUUGGAUGGUUAACUAGACCACAGAUCCAAAGAUAUGUGUGCUAAUAAAGGAAUGCCAUUAGCAGGAAAAAAGUGGGGAAGAUAAGAAAGUGGGAGAUGAGACAAAUUUGAUGUCACUCAGGUGCUGCAAGUGAGAGUGGCAGGCGAGGUCAUGCCCUUCAGGGGAACAGCAGCUACCGUCUUCCAUAUAUAUCGCAGAGGCUGGGGCCGAGGAAAGGGAGCAACCUCGUAAUCUAGCUCGAGUAAUUUCCCUGGGGCAACAGGACUUGGCCUUUUUGCCAAGCAGGGUCUGAGUUUGCAUCAGGCUGGAUUAGUCUUUUUGUAACAGAGACAGCGUUCAUGCAUCACCAGCCUUCGCAAAGUACAUUUAUGGUCAUCGAUGGGUGCAUCAUCUCUUUUUCUCUCUCUCUCGGUCUUCCACCAUUACUACCUAGUUCCACUUGUUGUCUGAGCAUUCUGAAACUUGCCUCCUGUUGAAUACAUGAAUUUGGCUGGGGUUUUGCCAAUAAAAAAAACUGCAUCUAUUAUGUUCUCA